UCAUAUCACUAUAGAUGUAUAGAUGUGUGAUGACGACUGUUAUAUAUGAUGACAGUUCAUUCACUAUACAUGUAUAGAUAGUGUGAUGACGACUGUGAUAUAUGAUAAUAGUUCUUUUCCUACACAGGUUUUGCUUUUCCAUGAGGACGAGAAUUCUCCCCUAUAGGUCGCACUUUGAUGGCUAUACUUACCCAUAUAGGACAGUGGAGCCGGACCCCCAGCUCACAGCACAUAUGGAAAUUAGCUACCAACGAGCCCGGGGCGUAAACAUGCAAGACGAGGGCGCAAACGCUUGGGAGAAGAGUGGGUCCUUGUGAUGUUGGCGAAUCAGAACGCAAUGCACCGGAAAUGGCAGGGUGCCCAGACUGCCUUGGGGGAAUCAGAAUGGAGGCCAGAACCGAUCUUUUUCUUGAAGCUCUGCGUACCAGCCGAUUUGGAGGAAAAGAUGGCCCUCCCUCCCUCCCUCCCUUCCUUCCUCCCUCCCUCCCUUUUGACCCAUUUUCCCUCUUCCCCGAUACACUCAAUAAAUUUAAAGUAAAUCAAUGAA